GAUGAAGAACGUAGCGAAAUGCGAUAAGUAAUGCGAAUUGCAGAAUUCCGUGAGUCAUCGAAUCUUUGAACGCACAUUGCGCCCCCUGGUAUUCCUGGGGGCAUGCCUGUUCGAGCGUCAUUAACAACCAAUCGGGCGGGGCUUUUGCAUGCUCCCGCUCGGCCAUGGGGGAUGGACGUCGUCGGACGCCCACCCCCGAAAUGCAACGGCGGACGGCCACCCGUGGCACUGCGGCGUAGUAAGUUAACCCUUCGCGCGCGCCCACGGAGUGGACUGCCCGGCCGCUUGAACCCCCACACAUCCUACGGUUGACCUCGGAUCAGGUAGGGAUACCCGCUGAACUUAAGCAUAUCAAUAAGCGGAGGA
rnacentral:misc_RNA from 1 species